AUAUUUACCAAAGGUGCCAAUAUUAGUGAAGGGCACUGUAUGAAGAGUUCCUAUAACUUGGAAGUAUAAUCCAGAUAGCAAUGGUUCAGAUCCACCAGGAGUGCAUGGACAAAUGCUCUGCCAAAAGCAAUAGUAGUAAAAAAAAAAAAAGGAAUUCAGUACAAUGCCAAUUUCAAUAAGGUGAUCAUUUAAGGUGCCAAGAAAAUAGGUGACUUUUAGGCCACACAGAGCAUUUAUGAAAACACAAUACUACUCUAGAAGUUAGUUGCCUGUUAGUCCUACAUAGCCGCUGCAGAACAGUGAUCCGC